UUGAGUUUGAUGAUGGCUCUGAAUGAACGCUGUCCAAAUGCUUGACACAUGCUAAUCGAACGACUAAUUUAAUUAUUAAAAUAAUGUAAUUAGUAGUGGUGUACAGGUGAGUAAAAGAUAAUAGAACUGCCUUGGAGCAAGGAAAAAAUUCCUUAUAUUAAUAAAGAAACUAAAGAAUCGCUCUUAGAAGUCUAGAUGUAUCUCGUGUAGUAGUAGUUAAGGUCAUUGCUUAACUAGAUUGAUACACGUAGUCGUAACUGGAAGGUUGAUCGACCACAGUGUGGCCUGCAUAAAGCCCACAAUUAUAUUACAGCAGUGAGGAAUAUUGGUCAAUAGCCUAACGGCUGAACCAGCAACUUGGAGGAAUGUAUAGCUAAAGCUAACUGUGUUUUGUAAAAAAUAUAGAUUCGAUUUAUUCGUAUAAAGUUCAAGGUAGAGUUUAUGAUAAUGACAUUUUCUAUCUAUAGUCUUGACCAACAUGCGUGCCAGCGGUCGCGGCAAGACGCUAAAGACAAGUGUUAUUCAUCUUUAAUAGGUUUAAAGCGUACCUAGACGGUAAAUCAAGCCUUAAUCGGGACUAAUUUAACUAGAGUUAGAUGUAAGGGUGCAUUAACGUACUGUUGAGUGUAGAGAUGAAAUUCUGUCAUACCAGAUGAUUGGCACGGGUUUAGGCGAAAGCAUCACCUUAUGUAAUAACUGACGUUGAAGGACGAAGGCUUUGUAUCGCGAACAGGAUUAGAUACCCCAGUAGUCUAAGCAGAAAAUGAUGAGUGUCAUAGGUUAAAUAUUAUUUAGUCUAUAAAUGAAAGUGUAAGCAUUCCACCUCAUGAGUAAUUUGGCAACAUUGGAAUUGAAAUCAUUAGACCGUUUCUGAAACCAGUAGUGAAGUAUGUUGUUUAAUUAGAUGAUACACAAAGAACCUUACCACAAUUUGAAUAUUUUUAUUUUACAAGCGUUGCACGGCUGUCUACAGUUAAUGUCGUGAGAUUCUGGUUAGUUCCAUUUAAUUAACGUAAACCCUUACUUUAUUUUAUUUAUAUAAAGUUGUUCGCCGCUAGAUUGGUAUUGAUAAAAGGGGGUAAGACAAGUCAUCAUGGCCUUAAUAUUGUGGGCUAUAGACGUGCCACAUAUGCCUAACAAAGGGAUGCUAAAUUGCAAAAUUAAGCUAAUCCUCCCUAAAUACGGAAAUAGAUGUCGUGGAUUGUAGUCUGUAAUUCGACUGCAUGAAAUAGGAAUUACUAGUAAUCGUGUAUAAGUAUGGCACGGUGAAUUAAAUCUCAGAUGGGUACUAACUACUCGUCAGGCGCUGAAAUUGGUAUGUGCAAUAAGUUGGGUUGGUGUUUCCUUAUAAUCUAGGUAAUUAGAUCUAGAAAUGGAAAUAAGUGAUCUUCGUAUGCGUGACCUUGAUUAGGGUUAAGUCGAAAUAUGGUUCGUGUAGUGGAAGUUGCACGGGAUUUAUAAUCAAUUAAAA
rnacentral:rRNA from 1 species